rnacentral:rRNA from 1 species
CCUACGGGAGGCAGCAGUAGGGAAUCUUGCGCAAUGGGGGAAACCCUGACGCAGCAACGCCGCGUGGAGGAUGAAGGUUUUAGGAUUGUAAACCCCUUUUGUUAGAGAAGAUUAUGACGGUAUCUAACGAAUAAGCACCGGCUAACUCCGUGCCAGCAGCCGCGGGAAUACGGAGGGUGCGAACGUUCGUCGGAAACACUGGGCGUAAAGUGUGCGGAGGCGGGGUAUUAAGUCUGAUGGGAAAGCCUGUAGCUUAACUUGGGAGGGUCAUUUGAAACUGUAGCUCUGGAGUGUAGGAGAGGUAGGUGGAAUUCUUGGUGUAGGGGUGAAAUGCGUAGAUAUCAGGAGGAAUACUCGUGGCGAAGGCGACCUGCUGG